CUCCGGUGGAUCCCGCCGGACCCGACUGCUAUCAGAGUGGGACUAAGCCAUGCGAGUUAACGUAGCAAUACGUGGCGCACGGCUCAGUAACACGUAGUCAACAUGCCCAGAGGACGUGGAUAACCUCGGGAAACUGAGUCUAAACCGCGAUAAGUGAGGAUUUCUGGAAUGGUUCCUGACUAAAAUCUAUAUGGCCUCUGGAUUGGACUGCGGCCGAUCAGGCUGUUGGUGAGGUAAUGGCCCACCAAACCUGUAACCGGUACGGGCUCUGAGAGGAGGAGCCCGGAGAUGGGCACUGAGACAAGGGCCCAGGCCCUAUGGGGCGCAGCAGGCGCGAAACCUCUGCAAUAGGCGAAAGCCUGACAGGGUUACUCUGAGUGACUUUCGCUAAGAAAGUCUUUUGGCACCUCUAAAAAGGGUGCAGAAUAAGGGGUGGGCAAGUCUGGUGUCAGCCGCCGCGGUAAUACCAGCACCCCGAGUGGUCGGGACGAUUAUUGGGCCUAAAGCAUCCGUAGCCGGUUCUGCAAGUCUUCCGUUAAAUCCAGCCGCUCAACGGAUGGGCCGCGGAGGAUACUACAGGACUAGGAGGCGGGAGAGGCAAGCGGUACUCAGUGGGUAGGGGUAAAAUCCUUUGAUCCAUUGAAGACCACCAGUGGCGAAGGCGGCUUGCCAGAACGCGCUCGACGGUGAGGGAUGAAAGCUGGGGGAGCAAACCGGAUUAGAUACCCGGGUAGUCCCAGCUGUAAACGAUGCAGACUCGGUGAUGGGCUAGCCUUGUGCCAGCCCAGUGCCGCAGGGAAGCCGUUAAGUCUGCCGCCUGGGGAGUACGGUCGCAAGACUGAAACUUAAAGGAUUGGCGGGGGAGCCA
rnacentral:rRNA from 1 species